CUCAGAUUGUAACACACCGUGCCAAUUUUGUGCGCGAAACUGGCUGUUCUUAAUUGUUAUAAUCACGACUGCUACAAUACAUUUCGCGCCUAUUGUCUUGCAAUUUAUGUAUGUAGAAGAUAUUAUCUGUAGCAUGUAAUACAAGAUUAUGAUAUUGACAAGAGCUUCCUUUUGCGUAGUAGUUUUGAUAUUUGUAUCCGGUAGAUAUCAUGUAACUGAUGUAAGGUAUAAAUAAGAUUGAUGCUCCUAUAAAAUAUAUAGCAUAGGAAUUUUCAUCCUUUUAUGUUCUACUUCUACAUUCGGUAUUUUCACGACACCUGUACAACAUGACUGAAUGCAUUGUGGAAUCACUGUUAUCCCGCUCAUUUGGAUUGAGACUUUUUUCCGAGAAACAAGAGAUCGUCGAAGGUGGCCGUCCCACUCCUGAGUUGCAAGGACUACAUACAACAUCCAAGCGAAGUGGUAAAGUCUUUAUUCGAAGUUUUCAGACGUCAAAUUACGACAAGUACAAAUGGCUGGCUGGCUCCUCAAAAUUGAAUAAGUUAUUUUGCUGGCCGUGUCUUUUGUUCAACUCAACAGACAAGACAGUCUGGUGCAAGAAGGGAUACGAUGAUUUGGCCAACCUGUGUAAUGCCGUCAACAGACACGAGAAAACGAAGACACACUUGUCCAGUUGCCUAAUGAAUGCCAGUUUUGGGCGUACACGCAUCGACAUGCAGCUAGACGAACAGGCCCGUCAACACAUCUCAGCUCACAACUUGAUGGUGCACAAGAAUAGAGAAGUACUUCGCCGUUUCAUUGAUGUUGUUUGCUUUCUUGGCAAACAGGAACUUUCUUUCAGAGGUCGGGUGGAGCUGGAGGAGUCUGCCAACAGGGGCAAUUACGUCGAAUUGAUAAAACUGCUAAGUGCAUAUGACCCCACGCUUGAACAGCAUCUUCAUACAGCAACCGUGUUUUCUGGACUUUCUAAUCGUAUCCAGAACGAUUUGAUUGUUGCUGUCAAGGACGUUAUGUUGAAAGCAAUAAAAGAUGAAGUGAUGAGGAGCCCAUUUGUCGCUAUUUCCCUGGAUGAAACCUCCGACGUUAAGACCUUAUCGCAGCUAACAACUAUAGUUCGCUAUGUCAACCCAGUGGUAAAGCUGUGGAGCGCUUUCUUGGAUUUACCGAUUAGACAGUGAGGGUGAUGGAGCAGAAAGUUCUUUAAGAACUAAUAGUCCUAGAAAAAGUAACAGACAAGACAUUAAGCCGACGGAAACGCUUACUGAUCCCCUGACGCUUUUACAACAGGCAACUGAAAAUAAUUUAUGUAAAUCUGAGCAGUGCACUGAUUAUGUUUAUCUGGAAACAAAUAAUGAAAAUGAAAACCAUAACAGUGGAAAACAAGAUGAAAGAAGAGAGGCGAUACAAACUCAACAAAUAAAAGAAAAGAAACGUUUACUGUUAUUUUUAUAGCGGUUUUAACGGAAAGUUUUGUAGAAGAUAUUGAAAAAGGUUUCAAAGUUUUCAUACGUGGAGACAAACCAGUUUUUGGUGGAUGGAAUAAGGGAUUUGGAAUACCUGUUGGAACAGAAACAUUUGGUAAGAAACAGUUGUCGCUGAAAGCUUCCAUUCAGGUUCCAUUAAAAUAUUCAAUCGGGAAAUGUGCGUAUAAAUAUGUCCUGGUGUCUUCCGAUGAAGAAAAAUAUGAAUUGUUAGUGGAAGUAGAAUCCACGUUCAACUCGGAUUUCGGAAAGAUAAAUCGCAGCCUACAUGUCCCAAAAGAAUACUUUGUGAAGAAUAAAACUUUUUACAAAUAUGAUGGAUUUGUUUACAAAAACUCUGGGCGAAUUCGUAAACACUUUGAGUUUGCAUUAAAUGACAGAGAAUUAUUCUUACGAAAGUUUUUUCCACAAUGGAUUGGGUUUGUUAACAGUUCUGAGGAUGUAAUACUGCGACUAGAUGAGGCAAUGGAGAGGCUUCAUCUUUUGUACUUAGCAGUUACCGAGAUGUGGAUAUUUAAUAAUGGAGUACACUCAAAGACAGAAUUUUCUAAAGCCAAUUUUAAAAAGGUCUUUACUCAGUUGCUGAUGCCCAAAAUAAAAGCAAAUCUCCUUGUUCUGAAAAAUGACAAAGUAAAAAAAGAAAAUAAAUUUGAUGCUUUAGUUUCAUCUGCUAUGAUUGCAUUUGUGUUUUGGAAAUACGGUUUUGCGCCAAGCGAAAACAACGUCAGUCAAAUUUUGCAGUGUCUAAAGUUUCCUGUUGACGAAACUGUUUGCGGGAACUUUUUGGCAUUUUUAAACGCAUUUGACCAACAAAUUCGAAG